rnacentral:rRNA from 1 species
AUAUCAGUCAUGCAUAGCAUAUCAAUAAGCGGAGGAAAAGAAACUAACAAGGAUUCCCUUAGUAACGGCGAGUGAAGCGGGAAGAGCUCAAAUUUGAAAUCUUCAAGGUUUUACCUUGACGAAUUGUAGUCUAAAGAAGUGUUUUCUGUUGAAGUUUUGGUAAAAGUUCUUUGGAAUAGGACAUCAUAGAGGGUGAGAAUCCCGUAUUUGACCAUUACUUUCAGCUUUGUGAUACACUUUCAAAGAGUCGGAUUGUUUGGGAAUGCAGUCCAAAAUGGGUGGUAAAUCUCAUCUAAAGCUAAAUAUUGGCGAGAGACCGAUAGCGAACAAGUACCGUGAGGGAAAGAUGAAAAGAACUUUGAAAAGAGAGUUAAACAGUACGUGAAAUUGUCAAAAGGGAAGCGUUUGACACCAGUGUUGUUUUCUCGAAAAUCAAUUAAAAAGAGUUGGAUUUUGUGUUGUAUUGACUUUAUCAGCUUUCUUCACUCUUUUCCAGCUUUUUUUAAUGCACUUUUCGUUUAACAAGUCAACAUCAGUUUCCUUUGUUGUAAAAAGGUCAUUGGAAGGUGGCUUUCUCUUCGGAGAAAGUGUUUAUAGCCUUUGACUCAUGCAAUCGGAGAGACUGAGGUCUGCAGCGUAGAUCCUUCGGGGUUAGAUACAUUUGUGCUAAGUUAUAGCUUUUCAUAGACAACUUGUUGACUAUGUUUAGUCUUGUAGCUUACUCGCUUAUGCUAUUUUACCUACGCUUAGGAUGUUGAACUCUAUCACACACA